rnacentral:misc_RNA from 1 species
GAUGAAGAACGUAGCGAAAUGCGAUACUUGGUGUGAAUUGCAGAAUCCCGUGAACCAUCGAGUCUUUGAACGCAAGUUGCGCCUCAAGCCAUUAGGUUGAGGGCACGUCUGCCUGGGCGUCACAUAUCGUUGCCUGAUGCCAGUUUCCUCGUGAUGGGUGACUGUGCAGGGCGAAUGAUGGCUUCCCGUGAGCAUUGUUGCCUCAUGGUUGGUUGAAAAUUGAGUCCUUGGUAGGGAGCGCCGUGAUAGAUGGUGGUUGAGUGACGAACGAGACCCAAUCAUGUGAGACCCCUACCGAAUUUGGCCUUCAUGACCCACAUGCGUCUUUGGAACGCUCAUGACUAGACCUCAGGUCAGGCGGGGCUACCCGCUGAGUUCAAGCAUAUCAAUAAGCGGAGGA